ensembl:lncRNA
AAUUAGUGUACUUUCCGUUGUGCAGGUUCACUUUUAGUGUUAUGCUUUGCAAUUCGACAGAAUUAGAGGCCACAAUCUUUCUGUGACUAUUGCGCGGUCGUUUGUAACAUCGCAUUGACUUAAAGCUUAAUUGAAAAUAUUACACACACUUCUUCAUAUAAACGAGGCAACACCAACUUUUCCACGCGUCUCCCUUAAUGAUCUCCCUAAACAUUGUACGCAAAAGAACCCCAACAUGUGCAAAGCAACUACCGGCUUAAAGAUCAUAUAUAGGCUAGUGGUGCGCAUCUACCACGGAAUCCAUUGGCAAAUGAGUUUUUCACAAUGCCUGGCGACUGCAAGGAGUGGUUCCGCUCUGGGAAACCGGGGCUAUGGUCACUUGCAGCGCGGACACUGUCCGUCUUUCACCUAUUUAGCCCGAGCCAUUUUCAUUAGCGCGAGGCUGUCUGCUAGCACAACAGGGACGGUUGUAAUCAGCAGCCAUAAACUGUGAAGUGGGAGAACCUAAACGUGACGUCAAUGCCUAGUAACUGACGCAGCCCUUUAAAAAAAAGAGAGAUAGAGAGAGAGAGAGAUUCUGCAAGCAUUAAUUAUCGUCGUUUGUGUACUGCUCUAAAGACAAAACAUAUUCCGCUCGCAGUGCGAUUGAUUACGAUUGUUUGCGCGCGCGGCUCCGUCUGUGUGUGUCUCUGUGUGAGUGUGUGCGUGCGUGCGUAUGUUUUUUAUGAGCAGCGAAUCCGUCCCGAGUUUCCAAGCUAAAGUUGCAUGGAGACACGCCGCGUAAGACGCGUAUAAUAAAGAGGAUGGUGAGCAACAUAAAGGAGCGAGGAGAGCGAGAACAACUUGUGCUGAGAAAGCGAACCUUUAAGAAAUAUUUAGCCCAUAAGAGAGAGGGUCACUGAAGCAGUUCGUUUGAAAAAAAAAAAAAAGAAGAAAUUCACUGCAGCGAUGCAUCGGAGGCGAGUCAGAUGGAGUUGGCGAGGCAAAAUUAAUAAAUAGGCAGAGGGUAUCACUUGUAUAAAAAGGACUGCGAUUCUGAGAAAACUUGGACAUGUUGCUAAGGAUAGAUAUGAAUCAAGGGCAGUAUUUGAUUUUCAUCUUGCUUGUUGUUUUUGUCACGUAUGAUGGUUUUAUACUCAUGUCUGUGUUUUCCCUGCUUUCAGCCUAGGGCUUCCUGCACUGGGCAGGACAGAACUUGAGGCAUCCACCGUGUCAAGUACAGAGGGUGAAUGAACGCUCGACUCACAGAACGAUCCCAGACGGUGUUGCUCGUGACAAAAUCUGCUGAUGAUUGGAGGUCUAUGGAAAAGUGAGAUGUGAAGCGAACUGGCUGUAUUCCUCAUGGAAGCAGAGGAAAGGCUGACAGGCAUGGAAGAUGAUGGAAGAAAAAGGAGGGGUUUACCAAUAAAUAAGGAUACAAAUAUGGGAAAACGUUACCUUGUAUCCUGCACACAAGAUCAACGUCGAACCAACGUCUGUUAGACUGCUGUACACCUGUAAAUGGAUAUUAAGCAAGUUGAUUACUUUGUAGGAACAACAUAACAUCGUCAGGUAUUUGCAAUAUCUGUCUGUAAACUACCUGGGUUUAAUAAAUGAGCCGGACUUGCUUACGUGUCACGUGCACACGUGAGACUCAUGAGCUGCGAGACGUAAGGAAAUAUGACAAUGAUGUAGUACGUAUUUGAGCUUAAAAAAUGUUUACUUGCACAUAAAACCAUGUAUAGAUACAUUUGUUGUAAUUAUUUACCUUAAUUAGUGAAAUUGUGUAGACGAGAUGCACAUGAACGCUUGUGUUGAGUCGUGUUGCUUUAGUUCUCAAAGACAUGAAGGCAAACACAUACUGAUUUAAUCUUAUUUGUUCUAAUUAAAUCAUAGCCUAUAUGUAGCUUCAAAUGGAUUUGUUGUGACUGUGAUAAUAAGAACUUGUGCGUAACGCGAGCGUCUGCAGACUUGUGUGAAAAUUACAGGCGCGAGUUUUAGCUUGUGGUGCUUUAUAAUUGUUAGGGUUACAUAUUCGUGAGAUCUUAAUAGCUUGUUUAACAUGUUGAAUGGAGCUGCAGACGGAGAGUUGGAGCUGUCAGGCGUUUUCUGUGCACGCUCUGCUGCUGCUGACGUAUCACUCCCACGGCCCAAGUGAGUUUAGGACUCAAAUAAUGCUGUGUUCUAUUAGUUCUUUAGCUAAAUAUGUUUAUUAUAUCGUAUAUGUGUAAUAAGGUUUCAUAACUAGUGUUUAGGGAGCAUUUUGAACACAGUAAAUGUGAAAUAUGACUUGUUGGGACUGGGAGUUAUCAAAGGGUCAAAUGGGUUGGGUCCUGCGGGGGGGCGGGGGGGGGGGGUAUGAUGUCGAAAUUAUAUGUUUUAAAGUUUGUCUAAGCAAAAGAUAAUUAAGUAAAAUAUCUAUAUUUUGCAUCAGUUAUUAUUUUGUAGUAUAUAAAUUACAAAAAAAUAAAUAUAAUAACUGAUAAUGCACUAUGUAGCCUAGCUAUCGGAUUGCUUGUGCCUUACGUAACUUUUAUUUUUAUUGCUUCAUAAUUAUAGUAUUUUCUGCUUUGCUGUUACUGUAUAUCAUACAACCCAAAACGUGCUUAACAGUUUGAGCUGAACUGAGUAAUUUGAGUAAAGUGUGGUUGCUGCAGUGUGCACGACGUGAGAGCGUAACGUGCGAGUUCUGCAUUUCUGAGUAUUUGAAUGACAUUUCUGUAUAGUGCACAGAGAAAAAUAUGCUGCAUUAACUAUUCGACCCUGACUAAUUGUUUAGCUAUUUCAUUACAUGAAACAAGAUGUGCAUGUGGUGUGAGAAAUAUGUGAUUUGAUUAUGUUGCAAAAUCUAAAAGCUGGAAGUUUGUCGUUCAGGUGACAAAGAAAAAAAAAAUGACUCACGUAUUUUGUAAUCAAACUGCUGGCUUUCUGUAUUCUCUAUUACAUGUCAGAGAAAAUAAAAUGUUUGGAGUUAUUUUAGAGUCUGCUUGCUUAUUUGUAUGUUUUUAAGUGUGGGGGGAUCUGGAAAAUGAACACUAUGGCUACUAUAUGUGACGUGCUGAAAACACUUGUGUGUGUUUAGAGCCUGUAGGAUAUAUAAAAUAAAAAAGUCAAAUGUAGCGCGAGGGAGGCAAUGCAUAGAAAGAAAGGUUUCCACAGCCAGAGUAGCCUAUCUUACAAUUAAAAUUACAGACAUUAAAAUGUUUUUCUUGACGACGCCAAUGCUUUUUUCUACUAAACAGCAUGUGGUUUACAUGUUACGUGUGUUACUUGAAUUAUUCACGCAUCGGUGGG